UGGGGAAUAUGCACAAUGGGCGAAAGCCUGAUGCAGCAACGCCGCGUGAGUGAUGAAGGCCUUCGGGUUGUAAAGCUCUGUCUUUUGGGACGAUAAUGACGGUACCAAAGGAGGAAGCCACGGCUAACUACGUGCCAGCAGCCGCGGUAAUACGUAGGUGGCAAGCGUUGUCCGGAUUUACUGGGCGUAAAGGAUGCGUAGGCGGAUUUUUAAGUGAGAUGUGAAAUACCCGGGCUUAACUUGGGUGCUGCAUUUCAAAACUGGGAAUCUAGAGUGCGGGAGAGGAGAAUGGAAUUCCUAGUGUAGCGGUGAAAUGCGUAGAGAUUAGGAAAGAACACCAGUGGCGAAAGGCGAUUCUCUGGACCGUAACUGACGCUGAGGCAUGAAAGCGUGGGUAGCAAAACAGGAUUAGAUACCCUGGUAGUCCACGCCGUAAAACGAUGAG
rnacentral:rRNA from 1 species